GAUGAACGCGGCGGCGUGCCUAACACAUGCAAGUCGAACGAGAUGCGUAUUGGAAAGCUUCGGCCGGAGAUACGUUAUCUAGUGGCGGACGGGUGAGUAACACGUGGGUAACCUGCCUUAUGGAGGGGGAUAACAGAGAGAAAUCACUGCUAAUACCGCAUAAGCACACAGUACCGCAUGGUACAGGGUGAAAAGAUUUAUCGCCAUAAGAUGGACCCGCGUCUGAUUAGCCAGUUGGCAGGGUAAAAGCCUACCAAAGCAACGAUCAGUAGCCGAUCUGAGAGGAUGACCGGCCACAUUGGGACUGAGACACGGCCCAAACUCCUACGGGAGGCAGCAGUGGGGAAUAUUGCACAAUGGGGGAAACCCUGAUGCAGCGACGCCGCGUGAGUGAAGAAGUAUUUCGGUAUGUAAAGCUCUAUCAGCAGGGAAGAUAAUGACAGUACCUGACUAAGAAGCCCCGGCUAACUACGUGCCAGCAGCCGCGGUAAUACGUAGGGGGCAAGCGUUAUCCGGAUUUACUGGGUGUAAAGGGAGCGUAGACGGAAUGGCAAGUCUGAAGUGAAAUACCCGGGCUCAACCUGGGAACUGCUUUGGAAACUGUUGUUCUAGAGUGUUGGAGAGGUAAGUGGAAUUCCUGGUGUAGCGGUGAAAUGCGUAGAUAUCAGGAAGAACACCGGAGGCGAAGGCGGCUUACUGGACAAUAACUGACGUUGAGGCUCGAAAGCGUGGGGAUCAAACAGG
rnacentral:rRNA from 1 species